rnacentral:rRNA from 1 species
GACGAACGCUGGCGGCGUGCUUAACACAUGCGAGUCGAACGGAAAGGCCCUGCUUGCAGGGUACUCGAGUGGCGAACGGGUGAGUAACACGUGGGUGAUCUGCCCUGCACUUCGGGAUAAGCCUGGGAAACUGGGUCUAAUACCGGAUAGGAGCCAUUUUUAGUGUGAUGGUUGGAAAGUUUUUUCGGUGUAGGAUGAGCUCGCGGCCUAUCAGCUUGUUGGUGGGGUAAUGGCCUACCAAGGCGGCGACGGGUAGCCGGCCUGAGAGGGUGGACGGCCACAUUGGGACUGAGGUACGGCCCAGACUCCUACGGGAGGCAGCAGUGGGGAAUAUUGCACAAUGGGCGCAAGCCUGAUGCAGCGACGCCGCGUGGGGGAUGACGGCCUUCGGGUUGUAAACUCCUUUCGCUAGGGACGAAGCUUUUUGUGACGGUACCUAGAUAAGAAGCACCGGCUAACUACGUG